UACGUAGGGUGCAAGCGUUGUCCGGAAUUAUUGGGCGUAAAGCGCACGUAGGCGGUUCGUUAUGUCGGAUGUGAAAGCCCUUGGCUUAACCGAGGAAGUGCAUCCGAAACUGGCGAGCUAGAGUACUAAAGAGGAUCGCGGAAUUCCCGGUGUAGAGGUGAAAUUCGUAGAUAUCGGGAGGAACACCGGCGGCGAAGGCGGCGAUCUGGGUAGAUACUGACGCUGAGGUGCGAAAGCGUGGGGAGCAAACAGG
rnacentral:rRNA from 1 species